rnacentral:rRNA from 1 species
AUUGAACGCUAGCGGGAUGCCUUACACAUGCAAGUCGAACGGGGUGGCGAACGGGUGAGUAAUGUAUCGGUACGGGCCCCGUCGCGGGGGAUAACUACCCGAAAGCGUAGCUAAUACCGCAUGCUAUUUACGCGGUCGAUAUAGUAUUAGCUAGUUGGUGGGGUAACGGCUCACCAAGGCGACCAUCCGUAGCUGGUUUGAGAGGACGACCAGCCACACUGGUACUGAGACACGGCCCAGACUCCUCCGGGAGGCAGCAGUGGGGAAUUUUGGACAAUGGGGGAAACCCUGAUCCAGCCAUCCCGCGUGUGCGAUGAAGGCCUUCGGGUUGUAAAGCACUUUUGGCAGGAAAGCGGUACCUGCAGAAUAAGCACCGGCUAACUACGUGCCAGCAGCCGCGGUAAUAC